GAUGAAGAACGUAGCGAAAUGCGAUAAGUAAUGUGAAUUGCAGAAUUCAGUGAAUCAUCGAAUCUUUGAACGCACAUUGCGCCCCCUGGUAUUCCGGGGGGCAUGCCUGUUCGAGCGUCAUUUCAACCCUCAAGCUCUGCUUGGUAUUGAGUCCAUGUCAGCAAUGGCAGGCUCCAAAAUCAGUGGCGGCGCCGCUGGGUCCUGAACGUAGUAAUAUCUCUCGUUACAGGUGCUCGGCGUGCUUCUGCCAAAACCCCAAUUUUUCUAUGGUUGACCUCGGAUCAGGCAGGGAUACCCGCUGAACUUAAGCAUAUCAAUAAGCGGAGGA
rnacentral:misc_RNA from 1 species